AGGCUAGAAGUGGAAGUGCAGUGAUGUAUGGAGCGGACUAGUACUAAUUGGUCGAGGACUUAACCAAG
rnacentral:rRNA from 1 species